CCUGGCCUUGACAUACUAAGAACUUUCCAGAGAUGGAUUGGUGCCUUCGGGAACUUAGAUACAGGUGCUGCAUGGCUGUCGUCAGCUCGUGUCGUGAGAUGUUUGGGUUAAGUCCCGCAACGAGCGCAACCCUUUUCCUUAUUUGCCAGCGGGUUAAGCCGGGAACUUUAAGGAUACUGCCAGUGACAAACUGGAGGAAGGCGGGGACGACGUCAAGUCAUCAUGGCCCUUACGGCCAGGGCUACACACGUGCUACAAUGGUCGGUACAAAGGGUUGCUACCUCGCGAGAGGAUGCUAAUCUCAAAAAGCCGAUCGUAGUCCGGAUCGCAGUCUGCAACUCGACUGCGUGAAGUCGGAAUCGCUAGUAAUCGCGGAUCAGAAUGCCGCGGUGAAUACGUUCCCGGGCCUUGUACACACCGCCCGUCACACCAUGGGAGUUUGUUGCACCAGAAGUAGGUAGUCUAACCGCAAGGAGGACGCUUACCACGGUGUGGCCGAUGACUGGGGUGAAGUCGUAACAAGGUAAGCGUAGAUGA
rnacentral:rRNA from 1 species